CUUUUCUUAAAACAUUCACUCACCAAUUGUAGAGGGUUCUGGGAAUGAUGCUGCAAAUGACCCUACUUAAUGCACUACUGCAUGGCUUAUAAUUACCUCGGGGACUGGAAAAGUCUCAUGCUUGUGGACAGCCUAUAGAAAAAAAAAAAUUCUGAAAACCUGGAGAAAAAUCUAUUCAGCUGUUUUUUGGAGGGCUGUUGGAAAUCCAAUAAAUGCAGAUACAUGUCUCUGUAUUGCUGAUACGUUGUGAGACAGAUUGACUGGGAAGGAGAGGGGCUGUAGGAAAGAGCCUUCUCCAUCUACCACGUGUGGUCAAUCUAGGGCUGGUUACAACAUCAGCCUGUGCUCAAUAGAACCGCUCAUCCCUUGUUGCCAGUUGCCACCAAAUCAGCUGAAAAGCGACAAGAAGAAGGUGCACUCCAUGUAUCUGUCUUCGUGUGGAAAUGCUCCGGUAACGGGUGGCUUUAAGGAGAAAAUUGGCCAAAACGGUGACUGUUUGAACACACCAUCCAACGAAUGCAACUUAUUCUACUCAAAUACGUGAGAUGAACUUCAGAUCCGGCACAGAAGGUGCAGCUGUUGCUUAGUGAUGGCCAAAAGAACAAGCAGAUCCAGAAAUCUGUUUGAUGUACUGAGAAUCCAAAAAGACAAUUUGCACUUUAUGACGUUGCAGUGGUAAAUGACCUUUAUGAUUCACUACUAACAAAACACCUGGCCAAGAUGGAGAUCCUCUUUGUAAAGUCCUGAGUUUUUUGGUGGGCAAUAUUUUUUUUUAAAAAUGUGGUGUAUGAAACACUUGCUCAGGCAAGAGAGACAAGAACCAAGUGAGAAACUGACCAAUUUUUUGCCUGA